rnacentral:rRNA from 1 species
GACGAACGCUGGCGGCGUGCUUAACACAUGCAAGUCGAACGGAAAGGCCCUGCUUGCUGGGUACUCGAGUGGCGAACGGGUGAGUAACACGUGGGUGAUCUGCCCUGCACUUCGGGAUAAGCCUGGGAAACUGGGUCUAAUACCGGAUAGGAGCCAUUUUUAGUGUGAUGGUUGGAAAGUUUUUUCGGUGUAGGAUGAGCUCACGGCCUAUCAGCUUGUUGGUGGGGUAAUGGCCUACCAAGGCGGCGACGGGUAGCCGGCCUGUGAGGGUGGACGGCCACAUUGGGACUGAGAUGCGGCCCAGAUGCCGACGGGAGGCAGAAGUGGGGAAUAUUGCACAAGGGGCGCAAGCCUGAUGCAGCGACGCCGCGUGGGGGAUGACGGCCUUCGGGUUGAAAACUCCUUUCGCUAGGGACGAAGCUUUUUGUGACGGUACCUAGAGAAGAAGCACCGGCUAACUACGUG